GACGAACGCUGGCGGCGUGCUUAACACAUGCAAGUCGAACGGAAAGACCCUGCUUUUGUGGGGUGCUCGAGUGGCGAACGGGUGAGUAACACGUGAGUAACCUGCCCUUGACUUUGGGAUAACUUCAGGAAACUGGGGCUAAUACCGGAUAGGAGCUCCUGCUGCAUGGGGGGGGUUGGAAAGUUUCGGCGGUUGGGGAUGGACUCGCGGCUUAUCAGCUUGUUGGGGGGGUAGUGGCUUACCAAGGCUUUGACGGGUAGCCGGCCUGAGAGGGUGACCGGCCACAUUGGGACUGAGAUACGGCCCAGACGCCUACGGGAGGCAGCAGGGGGGAAUAUUGCACAAUGGGCGGAAGCCUGAUGCAGCAACGCCGCGUGCGGGAUGACGGCCUUCGGGUUGUAAACCGCUUUCGCCUGUGACGAAGCGUGAGUGACGGUAAUGGGUAAAGAAGCACCGGCUAACUACGUG
rnacentral:rRNA from 1 species